CUCUAUCACUCCUACGGGAGGCAGCAGUGGGGAAUAUUGCACAAUGGGCGCAAGCCUGAUGCAGCCAUGCCGCGUGUGUGAAGAAGGCCUUCGGGUUGUAAAGCACUUUCAGUAGGGAGGAAGGUAGUGUAGUUAACACCUGCAUUAUUUGACGUUACCUACAGAAGAAGCACCGGCUAACUCCGUGCCAGCAGCCGCGGUAAUACGGAGGGUGCGAGCGUUAAUCGGAAUUACUGGGCGUAAAGCGCAUGCAGGCGGCCUGUUAAGUCAGAUGUGAAAGCCCGGGGCUUAACCUCGGAAUUGCAUUUGAAACUGGCAGGCUAGAGUCUUGUAGAGGGGGUAGAAUUUCAGGUGUAGCGGUGAAAAUGCGUAGAGAUCUGAAGGAAUACCAGUGGCGAAGGCGGCCCCCUGGACAAAGACUGACGCUCAGAUGCGAAAGCGUGGGGAGCAAACAGGAUUAGAUACCCUGGUAG
rnacentral:rRNA from 1 species